CGGGUUGUAAAGCACUUUCAGUAGGGAGGAAGGUAGUGUAGUUAACACCUGCAUUAUUUGACGUUACCUACAGAAGAAGCACCGGCUAACUCCGUGCCAGCAGCCGCGGUAAUACGGAGGGUGCGAGCGUUAAUCGGAAUUACUGGGCGUAAAGCGCAUGCAGGCGGCCUGUUAAGUCAGAUGUGAAAGACCCGGGGCGUUAACCUCGGAAUUGCAUUUGAAACUGGCAGGCUAGAGUCUUGUAGAGGGGGGUAGGAAGUUUCAGGUGUAGCGGUGAAAUGCGUAGAGAUCUGAAGGAAUACCAGUGGCGAAGGCGGCCCCCUCGGACAAAGACUGACGCUCAGAUGCGAAAGCGUGGGGAGCAAACAGGAUUAGAUACCCUGGUAG
rnacentral:rRNA from 1 species